UCAGUCGACUCCUACGGGGAGGCAGCAGUGGGGAAUAUUGCACAAUGGGGGAAACCCUGAUGCAGCCAUGCCGCGUGUGUGAAGAAGGCCUUCGGGUUGUAAAGCACUUUCAGUAGGGAGGAAGGUAGUGUAGUUAACACCUGCAUUAUUUGACGUUACCUACAGAAGAAAGCACCGGCUAACUCCGUGCCAGUAGCCGCGGUAAUACGGAGGGUGCGAGCGUUAAUCGGAAUUACUGGGCGUAAAGCGCAUGCAGGCGGCCUGUUAAGUCAGAUGUGAAAGCCCGGGGCUUAACCUCGGAAUUGCAUUUGAAACUGGCAGGCUAGAGUCUUGUAGAGGGGGGUAGGAAUUUCAGGUGUAGCGGUGAAAUGCGUAGAGAUCUGAAGGAAUACCAGUGGCGAAGGCGGCCCCCUGGACAAAGACUGACGCUCAGAUGCGAAAGCGUGGGGAGCAAACAGGAUUAGAUACCCUGGUAG
rnacentral:rRNA from 1 species